CGACCGAUUAAGAAAAGGCUCUGUCAGCCCAUUUUUUCUAUCGCCCUGCGCAGCUUGCCAGAGCCUUUUUUCAAUCGGUCAAACUGCGUCAAAGAGUUUCAAUUUUGAAAAUUCCAAGUGAAAUUAGUCGACUGAUUCAUGCUCUUAAACGGACGCGGCCGACGUAAUUUUUCCAAAAUGACGAACUCGAGCUGCUGCACAGUAAAGUUGUAAUGAAAAUAUGGCGUGACGUAACCCUCGGCGUAAAUUCAAUCGAUACCAAUGUCAGAGAAUCUUUGUAAAAGCUUCCAUGGUAUAUAUGCCGUCGCCAUUGUAUUCUCAACCAAUGAACCAUUGCGAAUAUCACUCGAGGUGUGGGUUGGACUUUGUGUAAAUAGAAGUAUGACGACACGUGUAUAAAGUAUCUGGUGAUGGUAAAAGACUCUCGCGACCUGUGCCUGUAGUACAGCACAGUAAUACAUAUCGGCGCGUUGGCUUAGUUUUCCAUUUCCCAACGUUCUAUGACGUAAUUCACAGGGAAGCUAGCUCUGGAAUACAAACUAUUGUGCGAAUGUCAAGCCGUCGGAAAAUGGAAUGCGAACGAGUACUCGGCCUGUUGGUACAACCCCAACGGGUCACCCGACUCCCAGGUUUUCAAGUCACGUACUGUUUCUCGAGUUCACGUCCCCUCACAGCCUCACCCACUGCCGUUUCUCUUGCAUUAAUGCAACAUCAAUUAGAACACUUUUUCCAUCAAAACACAUGAAAGUUUUGAAUGGAGACUCACGACACAAGAGUUCCUCGAGUCGAGACAGACGUUCCAAUCGUUUCGGUAUUUACAGCUCUAUAUUCGCUCGGAAAUGCUCGGGUGCACGUGGCUAGUCCAUCGGAGUACGGAAAUGUCUCUUUGAAACUGCAUCUAUGAUGAGAAUAGUCGUUGAACCGGCUGAUUAAAAUAAUUAAUUGAAAACGUCAAACUGAGCAGUGACGAAACAAUUCUCGAGGGGAAAGGACACCCACGAGGCUGCAACUGCAUCGGAAGCUUAUCCUAGGGGGUUUCGAGCUACGAGCGAUAAGCACGGAACAAUGUAAAUUAGAUCGUACAAUCUCCUCUAUUCCCUUCAUUGGCAUUUUCAUGGAUGGGGGGAGUAGAUAAAGUUGUGAGGUAAAGUUUCAUAGUUAUGGAGAUUCCUGAUUCAUAUUCAAUAUCGAAAAUUUCUCAGGAAUGAGGGUAUUUUAAGUAAAAUAGACGUUGGUUAUUCCUCUUCCAUUAUUUUUCAUCGCGUUCAUCAUUACUCUUGGCUUUUGGAAGCCGUUGGUGUUUCUCUACAUACAAGCUAUCUCGGGGGCGAACGAUUAUAAAUUUUGGUAAGCGCUAAUAGCAGCAAUGAUCGUUCCACGCGGGCGCGAAAGGAUGGGCGAGCUGUUGAAUGACCUAAAUAUUAUACAGGGUGGCAAAUGAAUUAUUAGGAACUUCUUUUCCGGUCCCCCGACGCUCCCCCCCGUCACGCUGGCUUUUAUCCAAGGAUAUGAGUCAGUGCCAAUGAGGUCAAUGGUCGGGUCACUGAACUGCGGAGAAAUUACAAAAAUCCUAACCUCACACCGCGCUCCCUCUCAAAUAUACGUGCAUAUAACGGCAAUCAUCCGGCGAAUGUGUGAUGAGAGUCGUGGCAGAAAUAUGCAAAGUUGUUCAACGGCUUACCAGGCUCUUUGGAGCAUCAUAUUUCAUCGAGAAAUGCUCAUACAUUUUUACCACGCAUUCAAUGCGGCAUAUAUGAGUCGUGCGAAUGUUGAAUUUGUCACUCAUUUCCGAGCUUCAAAGCCGUCAGGUGCAUUUUAUGCACUCUUUCAUUCGCAUGUUCGCAUAAAUCCAGGCAAAAAGUAGCCCAGCGAAGUCACCGAGUUACACGUUAUUGCGAAAAAUAUUUUUCCAACUUUUUAGACGAACCCUUUCAAUGAAACUCAUGAAAAUCAACGUGCAAAUCAUUGCUAAUCCGAGUUCAUGAAACGAGCCACUUAGAAGCGUUUGAUUAUUCAAUCCCGAUGAUCAAAUGCGAUUGUUUUAUUCAACAGCUGACGCACGUUACGACUAGACGCGGUGUAGGACGCUUUUAUACGACAUGUACACACAGCUACGAAUGGGAAACGUAACUUAACACACAAACUAUAUUCAGUUGAUACGUCCAGCAACGCUCCGAUGAACCAAUAUGCGGCUCGAGCGCGAUACGUUUCCGUAUAAAUAUUUGGAAAAGUAUAUUUAUCGACAGCAAUGGCGCGAUGAAGUAUCGAAAAUAUAUAGAUAUAUAAGAUUGAGGAGAAUUAUUCGGUGAUGGAUACAACGCGAAUAUCCUACGAAGCAGCAGCAUCCCGAAGAUAGAGCAAGACUCUGUACGUGCGCCCUGUGUCUUCGUUUUCUCGUAAUUUAUACGAGAGAAAAACGUGGUGGAUGAGACCGCAGACUCGUACGCUCGAGGCAGGUUGUGGGACGAUAGAUGAGGCACGGAUAUAGAGCCGAGUUUCCCACGUUGUUGCCCUAGUAUUAGAAUCGUCGCUAAAAAUAUAUCACACCCAAUAAAGACCAAGGGUAGCUCUUAAUAAAUACGUUACUUCUUUACUACAGUCUCUCUUUGUAGGUACUCUUUAAUGUUCUGUUUCAUUGCGCUCGUACCCAUCAACCUCCCUUCUACGACAAUUUCUUUCUCUAAUUGUUCAAUGGAAUACAGCUCAAUUGUUUCGUGCUUUUCGUUGACCAAAAUUUAUUUUGGAAAAGUUUAAAAUGCAUUUUUUUCUUCAGGUUCGUGUUCCAUGGAUGCAUACAUUUAUGCUGAUCGAACUGUACUCUUCAUGCGAAACGACGUGUCUGAUAUGAUGACUGGUUCGGGGCUUUUCGUACUCGAAGAAUAAAUGCUGCUCGCCCCAAACGAAAUAUUUCCGAUAGCAACCCUAGAGGAACCGUGAUUUUAUUUUUUUUUCCCCCCAUUUCGUCGGAUUGCAAAGAGGGAAUGUUGGUUCGAUAUUCGAUGCUUUUAUACUGCGCUCCGUACCAAAAUGUUUUGGACUCGUUUUUCAUAUUCACGGAGCAAAGGUCGUCUCUGGAGAAUUCUCGGGCAUGGCGAUUUGUUGGCCCUUCGCUCAAAGCUUUUCUGCUCGUUCCGUCCUGGCACACUCGACUUUAUACGGUAAAUUAUUACAUCCAUUUGUAAGCGGACGAUUCGUUUAUGCAGACAAUAUUCAUGACAGCAGCAAAAUGGCUCUCGUCGUAAGUGUGCACACACACACGCCCGUGCAGCAGCGAGGGAGGAAAAGAGAGUAAAGAGGGAAGAGCCGAAAGAGAAGCAGCGUUCGUGCCUAUUAUUAGGCCAGAGUUGAAUUUACGGGUACUAUACGUUGCGGUCUAGUGACGCGAACUCGCAACACCGGACUCAUCUUUCUCUACAUCGACGCAAACUGCAUAGAUGUUCGUUCAUGUGUCCAUAUGUUGCACACGUCAACGCCUCUCAUCGAAUGUGAACCCUUCAAAGAGGCUUAUGGGGACGGAAUUUUCAUUGCAAUCCACGGACCACGCGCCCUUUCUCUUGUUAGAACCUGAUACACGUGUUUUAACUCUAUUAUGCAACGAUUUACCCUUUUGAUGGGUUUUCUGACUGGCUCAACGCGGCUUACCAGCGGAUAGUUUGUUUACCCAUCGCACACCCGUGAAUUCUCAGCGACCCAAACUCUCCAACGUCAGGCUGCAUUAUCAGUUUUUACAAUUUUAAUACAGCCAGUUUAUCUCUCCCGAAACUCUCUCGACAAUUGCAAACCACUUAACACAAACAUCCAUGCAAAUAUUAUACUCUUCGAGUAGCGAUCGAUUCGCUCCUAUCUCGAAUAAAUCUUCGUCAACAGGUUUUAGUUUUCUUCUUAAUUCAAACGAAUUCACGCAGAAUUAUUAAUUUACAUUUACUCGAUGAAGUACGAGUUCUCGUGAUACAUUCACGAUUGGUUUGUUCUGCAUGGCAAAACUAUUAAUAUCAAGUGUAUUUAGGCUGUAUAUCAGGCACGGAAAUCGAGACUGUUCGUAGACACGUUGUUGAAAAAGUAUCAUUCGAGUUCCGAUUGCCACUUGUCAUCAACAUGAAAUUUGAGGGCUCUCGAAACUUUGUGCAACAUUGGUGCUCACAGCGAUAGUGAAGUACUGAGUCGAAGCGAGUCUGUAUGUGUAUUCAGUGAGUGAGAGAGAGAGAGAGAGAGAGAAUCUCUGAUAAAAAAAAAAACGAGUAGAGAGUUGUCAUAGUUUUCUUCGAUGGAAAUUCCCGAUUGAAAAACAAUGGACCCAAGCGGUUAUGCGCCGAGUUUCGGCCGUCGAAUAUCCGGCUGCUCGUCCGACAGAAUAGUUUUUUACGUCGACGAAGCCAUCGGUGAAUCGUAUCCGGAAGUUUUGAGUCCGGCUGACUCUGCUCUGCGAAGGCAAUUGCACUCCUCCGGCCUAUGUCCACCGAAUCAUUGUGACGGAGCUGGAAGAUCGAAUUCCGUUUGUUCGCAAACGAUCGAUCGUCCGAGACGCUCCAGGCCGAACUCUGACUCGGAGCACUCGGGCAGCAGACGCACCAGCAUUCAUUCCAGUCGUUCCAGAGCAAAUAGUUACAGCAGGCAAACUCCUCUCGUGAGAAUAAUUAGUCGACUAUUGGUGGUGGUGGGAAAAACAUGAAAAAAAGGAAACAGUCAUUGUCGAUUAUUCAGGUGAUGGGAGGAGAGCAAGUGUAGCCAGAAAAGGUGCUUCGAGGCGUGCGAGUAGCGCUACUUGCGCGGUUGGAACAGGCCCGAGGCGGAAGGAUUCCGUUCGUCCGACGACGAGGAUCGAAAUCACAGAGUCCAAGGGAAAAAUCGUCGUAAAGAGCCCCCUUGAGUUGGAGCAAGCCAGGAGACAUCGAAGAAUCGCCAUGAUCAUCGUCGGGACUUUUUUUUUUUUACUCAUUGCCUCGGUACUCGUCGUCGUUGUCACCCUCACUCACAGCUCUUUUCACACGCCCCCCAUGGGAUCGAAAGAACUGGCCGAGCAUCGAGCUAAUCACAAUUACCAUCCAAACGUCAAUGAUACUCUUCGCAAGGAGAACGAAGAGUUGCUGAACUCGUUGAAUCGAGACAAUUCGGUGCCUGAAAACUCAACGUCUUUGCCGUAGGGAAAGGAGGCCUCGAAUUUCUCGAAGGAUAAGAUAUGCUCUCCACGGUUCACUGCUUGAACGGCCGCGUUUGUAAGUGAUUCUCGUUCCACAGUCGAACGCGAGAAAAAAAAUCAAAAUGAAACCAAGUAUGUUUGUAUACAAAAUGUGGAACGAUGUGGAUCACACGCGUGGAAUGUCAGCUCAAUUUUUAUUAGGUUUUUCUCUCAGGCAAUAAAUGUGGCAGGAUUAUUCGGAUGAAACGUUGUACAAAAACAAUUACGAAAAUAAAAGAAAAAGAAAAAAGAACAACAAUAUCUCGAUUGCCUCGCGAACACGGAGAAAUGAGUGAUUCAAAAAUCACUGCAUCGUUAUUAACUAUACGAGAUGGAUAUUAUGUUGAUUCGAAUGGCGACACAGUUAUUACUCGAGAAACAUGCGUCCGGAGAGUGCUCAAAGAUUGGCAAAGAUUCAUCACCAUAUAAAAAUAUCAAAAUUGUUACUGUGAGCAAUGUGUAGAAAAAUCUCACGUAAAAGAAUUCCGCAAAUGGAGCAUUUUGCACUAACUCGAUGGCUAAAUUAACCCAACACUUUGAGACUGCACGAGGAAAAAAAACACCGAAAUCAAAAUGAACCCGAGGAAAAACAAAAAUCAAAAGCUGCGGCUAGUAUUCUCAAAGAAGUCUAAUUAAAGAAUGAUCACAAUUGAUAUUUUGAGUCGUGAAAAACUUCGAUAUUUAGCUGAAGGAGUUGGAAGCUCAAAGUGCUCCACGUAUAUUGUGCAUACAUAGUGUGUACGAUAUAAAAUUCGACGUGAAUAUUUCGAUCGAAUAACAACGAAAUGAGUAUUUCGAAUAGUUCAUUCAAGAACGCAACGCAAAUACUAAUUUACUAAUGGAAUAAAUGAAUAUCGUUGGUGAACCACUGCGAAUGGAGCACAAAUUAAAGAAAGCUUGCAGAAGUCAAGACAUUUAAGAGGAUAAAAAUAAAAGCGUAUUAUUAUAGAAGUGUAUUAUAGCGAAAAAAGCGAGUCAAAAGUUUAAAAGGCUUAAAGAUAAUCAUAGUUAAUACGAUAAGGGAAGAAAUGCAAAAAAUAUUAGACCUCAGUUAUCGGCCGUUCAUAAAACAACAAAAUUACAACUGUUACCGUAAAAGAUAUUGAUUUUAAAAAUAAAUAAAUAUAUAUAUCAAAUGUUACGUAUAUUGCGCGAUUAUUUAAGGGGUGCAGAAAAAAACGAUUGUUAUCACGGAAUCAAGCGGAGUGUAAUAAUUAUUUCGAAUUGCGACCAAAAAUUCAGCUACAGUAUUCAAUUAUAACUGACGAAAUAGAAUUCUAUUGAGAAAAAAUGAACGACGUAAAAUUACGUCGCAAUGAAUUUUCGUAACUAUUGUAAAAGAAAAAAAAACAAGUGACAAUUACUUGGUUUAUAAUAAACGAAAUAGAAAAUUAAAAAUAUUAAGAGAACAGAAAGCAAAAGAGAGUAAGAAAAAAUUGCACCGUUGCGAUGCGGAAAGAAAAGAAAUUUCAGCGAUCCAGCGAUACGAUAAAAAACGCAUGUCGUCCGACACGAUCACAAAUCUUUCAGAUAUUAUUAGCUCAACAUUGAUAAAAAUUUAAUAAUAUUUCCGAUAUCAAGAAUCAAGUGGAACCGUCCUGCGUUCACAGCACAUCAUCGUUUGUUGUAUUGCUUAACUUUUCAAUAACAGUUUAGUCUCGUGGCCUCGCGGUGAGUGACGAAAAUAGAGCUUCGUUUUCGUUAGAGACGCACUUACAUACCAUUCAAUUUUAUUUGUCGUCGGAAUUGUAAAGAACGAGAUACUUUGACGCGGUUACGAAAAAGUACCAAUUUGAUUGUGAGACAACUGACAACCUUUUUUUUAAUGAAAUCGAUGCACGAUCGAUACUCUGACGUCAUCGUCCGAUGUAUUUGCUAAAGCAUCCAAAAAACUCGAAAAAUCCCUCGAAAAGAUUGUCACAAAAUGUUCUGUUCAUUAUUUGAGAUGAAACAUAAAAGAAAUUCGUGAGCUCGAGAAACAUUCUUAUCUACGUGACACUCGGCGACCUCGUGUGCCAUGCGUUAUACAGAAUAUUAUAUCAUUUCUGGUAAGAUAAUAUUGUUGAUUUUUCUUUAGAACCGAGAGUCGAAUUUAUAACCGGUAGUGACGAUCGGGCGAAGAGUCUGACACACGUGUCAUCAUUUUGUGCGUAGUUACGACUUAAUUGAACGGGCCUAAUCGUCAGACACGCUUAUUUUCAAUAUACUCCAACAUGUCAUCACCGCAAUUCAAUCGAAUCGGCUGUAGUCAUUUUCCAAAAACCCGAGCGAAUCAUUAUUACGAAUAAAUCUAAGAAAAGAUAUUUCAUCAAAUUUUCUUUUCGUCUAUCAUUAAAAAGUAUCAAUGCGAAUCCAUUGAUUGACCGAUAUAGUAAAUGAAAAAUGGUUAAUGUCGUUUGCGACGGAUGUCCACCGAAAUGGCGACCGUAGUCGAUUACCGCGUCACCGUACGUUUUAUCAUAAUAAUCGAAAACACAAUAACGGAAAUUGGCAAUUUCCCGCAGUCGAUGCGCGACAAUCACUCGGUUCGAAAUCCAAACGAAACGGCGAGCACAUGUCUUAAGAAAUGUUAAUGAGAAAAACGUAAAAUUAAAUAAUGUUAAAUAAAGUAAUGAAGUAUCCAUCAAAACGUAAUAAGACCACACUUGAGAGUGAUUUAAUAUUUGCGACAUAGAUCGCGUACCAAUAGGAUUGUGCGUGAAAAUUUGAGAAACUCGAGUGCACCGUGCUGACGAGUCACCUGAGAUUUUCAACGCGACGACAAAUAGCGAAUCCGGGCUCAGGAAGCUCGGCAAAACCGAUCGUGAUCCCACGACGUCCUCGUUACUGGCUGGAUUCUCGUGACAAAACUUGUAUAUUAUACAUGAUUCAUAGAAUGAGCAAAAAACACAAACUCAAAAAAGAAAGAAAAAAUAUAAAAAUAAUAUAUAAAUAUAUUAUUUGGACUGUAACCGUAAAAGUAUAUAUGAGAUGUUAAUGGAUGAAUUAUUAAGAUUUAUGUUUGUAUAUUGUAAUAACAAUUUAUGUAUAACGGUCAUUAACAAUGCCGGACAAACAAAAUAUAUAUAGUAUAUACUAUAGUUGUGAA
rnacentral:misc_RNA from 1 species